GCAGAAAUUGUAACAUGCCAUGCCAUUUUUUUUUACCAAUGGGUAUUUUUGGACAACGAAAUGUCACCGGGAGGCUUCCUCGUAGGAUUGGAUGCAAAUGGUCCUGAAGUGGGCAGUUGUGUGUUCCCAUUAGCUCGCGGGAGACUGCGGUUGUCAUUGAUCUUUUGAAGCGGCGGAAACGGGAGUAAACCGGGGGAGAUGAUGUGCGAGGUGAUGCCCACCAUCAGCGAGGACACGGCGCUGAGCCAGCGCGGCUCCCAGAGCAGCGCCUCGGACCCGGACUCGCACUUCGAGCAGCUGAUGGUCAACAUGCUGGACGAGCGCGACCGGCUGCU